rnacentral:lncRNA from 1 species
UAUAACGACGUGAACUGGUAAUUUGUCAAGGUGGGGGAUAAUAUAACUCUCUUCAAUAUAAUGUAUGUUCAAGGGAUCUCGACUCAUAAGGCGAGAUCCAAAAAACAAGUGUUUCACUCUGUAGAUCUAAUCUCUUUUAAUGGAAAUAUAGUUCUUUGAGCAUAUAUCUCUUCAUAUCAAGAUCUUCCACGGAAUCAUUGUAUACUUCUACAUAUAAGAACUAAGGAGUUCCAUAAAACGAUAGAAUAAUCGACUGAGAUACCCAGUGAGGAGCAGGGAGAGUUCUCAUUCUCAACUCACAGCUCCUUCUUUGAAAUUAUUGAAAGUCAACUCUGUUUCGUCUCCUACUCUAAAAAAACGAUUCCAUUAAUAAGAGUCCUUCAGUUUCCUGGAUGUAUAUAACUCAGAAAUCACUCAUCCCUAUCACAUUUAUAAGUUGGAAUUCGUGAUAUACGAUCUAUACGGAUAAUUCUUUAAGCUAGACACUUCAAGCUCACACCUGAUUGCUUUAUUACUACUGAGUCACUUGGCAUUAGAAAAUAAGUGGAACAUGAUUCUAGACAGAUAAAGAUAGUUUUUCUUUUUUCUCUCGAUAUUUUGGUCUGCAAAGUAUAUUCUACUCUGCUACUUCAUAUAAAUAGUUAUUCGGAGCUGUUAAGUGAUUAUGUGUUUUACAAAAUAUUUAACAAGCCUCUUAACUUCAGUAGACUUAUGUUGAAAUAUCUGAAUGUCAUUAAAAUUCCCAAACUUAUUGAGUCGGGAAUCUUUCUCUAAACAGCCAAAUUCCUUGUCACCGUAUUGGAAUAUUACUUUUGUAAAGAUCUAGGAUCGCAACACGAAUAAAUAAAUUAUUAAAUGUUUUCUAUACUAGAUAAUUAUAAGUUGUUUUAC